GAUGAACGCUGGCGGAAUGCUUUACACAUGCAAGUCGAACGGCAGCACGGACUUCGGUCUGGUGGCGAGUGGCGAACGGGUGAGUAAUGUAUCGGAACGUGCCCAGUCGUGGGGGAUAACGUAGUGAAAAUUACGCUAAUACCGCAUACGAUCUAUGGAUGAACGCGGGGGAUCGCAAGACCUCGCGCGAUUGGAGCGGCCGAUACCAGAUUAGGUAGUUGGUGGGGUAAAGGCCCACCAAGCCAACGAUCUGUAGCUGGUCUGAGUGGACGACCAGCCACACUGGAACUGAGACACGGUCCAGACUCCUACGGGAGGCAGCAGUGGGGAAUUUUGGACAAUGGGCGCAAGCCUGAUCCAGCCAUUCCGCGUGCAGGAUGAAGGCCCUCGGGUUGUAAACUGCUUUUGUACAGAACGAAAAGGUUUCUACUAAUACUAGGAGCUCAUGACGGUACUGUAAGAAUAAGCACCGGCUAACUACGUGCCAGCAGCCGCAGUAA
rnacentral:rRNA from 1 species